CUCUGCUUAAAAACGUAGUGAUUCACCUUGCUCUUGGGGGAAGAUAGUGAAACACAUGCUGUGGAAAUUCAGUCUGAUCUUCAUCCCAUAUGCUGGUUCUCAAGAUGGAGCAACAGGGAGAUUUUUCUCUUCCCAUGAACACAUCCUCAGAUGAUCGUGGUUCUUCGGAAUAAUCCUGCCCAAAAAGUGUCCAAACCUAAAGACAUGAAGUCAAUAACCUGGCACCAUCAGAUGCUCGAAAAGGAUUGGUUUGAAAGAGGGUAAUUAAAGGGCAAUUCAUCAGGACAAUUACUGAUCCAUUUUGCCUGGUCAGUUAUGAGGCACAUUUGAGAAACAGCCACCAGGUUUUUGCUACAUGUAUGGAAUUGGAAGACACCAAGCCCAAUGCCUCACCGUACACAUAAAUGUAUUCCUGAAAAUGCCAGACUAUAGUUAACCAGGAUCUAUCCAAAUAUCGCCUGUAAUAGGGAGAUUAGACAAUGCGUUUUAUUAGAUAACUCUUCCUAAUAUUGAACUCCUUAUAAACUACUUCCUGUAAUACUGCAUAGGGUAAUGGAAAUGCUCCAUGUCUGUGGAGCACUUUAAGUGUUCUCUGCAUUACAAACACUAAGGAGGAGAUGUUGAAAAAAAUAACAUUGGAAAUAGUCAUAAAAGAAGGCGACCUCACAUUCUCAGAGGCCAAUUCUGCCACUCUGAUGAUUUGGCAGGUACAACUUAGGGUGUCAAAAAGAGACUGUCUAUUUUUCUGUCUGUACAUAUUAAAAACUUGGGAAUGGGAAACAAUUCAGUAAAGUCCAAGUCCACUUUUUGUUUCUUUUCUCCGAAUUUCCCCCUCAUUGAGGAAGGCUCUGGAAAUAUCUGCUUCAGCACCACACAGGCCAAGUUUGUCCUUCCUAGAGAAAGAUACCAUCAAUGUUCUCUAAUCUUAUGCAAAUCCAACAUCCCACCUCCACCUUCCACUGUAAUAUGUCCUUGCCCUUGGUUUGGGCAAACCAUUAAUAAAUUAUUCAUUCAUUAAAUUAUUGAAUAAACCCUUGUGGAAUGAACAUAUUAAAUAUCUUUUAUGUUUGUUUGUUUCCAUAACUACUACUUUAUUGGAGGAAACUGUUCUUGUAACAUAAUCUUUAUCAUCAUGGGCAGAGAGCAAGGCUUCAUUUGAUUUGCAAGGGGCUGGCCCUCCAUCAUGUUUUCUGAUUGACUGAUUGGCUCUGGCUUUGUACAUCCCAAGCAAUUUUCCAAGAAUCUCUUCCUUUCUCCUACGGAAACCACAGUUUCUCCUUAUAUUGUAGUAACUAACAUUGAGGGGUUUGGGGUUGGAGGUGCAAAUCUGGUCAUAGCAUUUAAAAAGAAUUGUAGUAGUACUGAAGAAUUCUACUGUUAAAUAAAAUUUAUGGGAAGCCAUGCUUUUAGACUGAGCUCCUGCACUAGGCCCCAACAGAACAGACCAAACCAAAAUGGAGUCACUCUGAUGAUAGUUUCUUUUGCUGUGAAGAAGCUCUUUAGUUUAAUUAUAUCCCAUUUGUCAAUUUUUGCUUUUGUUUCAAUUGCUUUUGGCGUCUUCACCAUGAAAUCUUUGCCCAUGCCUGUGGCUGCAUAGUAUUCCAUAGUGGGUAUGUGCCACAUUUUCUUUAUCCAGUCUACUGUUGAUGGGCAUUUAGGUUCCAUUCCAUAUCUUUGCUAUUAUGAAAUGUGCUGAGAUGAACACACACGUGCAUGUGUCUUUUAUAGUAGAAUGAUUUAUAUUCCUUUAGGUAUAUACCCAAUAAUGGGAUUGUUGGGUCAAAUGGUAAUUCUGUUUUAAGUUUUUUCAGAAAUUGCCGAACUGCUUUCAACAAUGGCUGAACUAAUUUACAAGCAGUGUAUAAGCAUUCCCUUUCCUCCACAACCUCAUCAGCAUCUGUUAUUUUUCAAAAACUGACUUUUUUCCAUUUCCAACAAAGCACUUCUAUUUUUAGAUUAAGAUGCUGCCUAGUUCAUGAAUCACUAAUAAAAGGCCAUUAUAUUGUUAACCUAAAUAUGUUGAAAUUUUGGUUUUUGACAGUACUCAAAUAAAUGAACUGGAAAUUAAACGAAGAAGCUGAGCUCUUUGAAACCAGUCCUGACUCAGUGCUUGUUUUCUGGGUCUUUGUCAUUUCUCUAAUGCAAAAUGAAUCCCAAACCACGUAGUGCAGCACAACAAAGAUAUUCAAAUGGAAUUAAGGUUCUUAUUAGAUCUGAAGGGCCUGGUGUGGCUGUGGUUCCUCCAGAGGAGACUUGUUUGUUUGCUGGUCUUUUUACAGAGUUUAUGGAACAGAAUUUUAUUUUUAGCAAGAACUUUUUUUCCUCUUGGAAAUGAAUUAAUGAUGGUGUUGCCAGAGAGUGUUUAUGAAUACAAUGUUAAAAAGUGGACCAAACAAAACACACCUUAUUUCCACUCACUAAGAAUGCAUUGCCUUUCCUAACAGGAGCAGGCUGGCAUAAAUAUUAUUUUAUUAUAAUAAAUACUUUUGUUAUUAUGUUAAAUAUCUACCACUACAGAAGAUACCAAAGAAUUGCAGGAUCUCUGUCCUCAAAUUGCUUAGAGUCAAGUUAGAUUAAGAAAAAUAAACCAAUAAUGAAUAGUAUAAGACACUGUGUUAUACAGUAGGAGCAUUUUUGGUCCCAAUUAGGUUCUGAAGGAAUUCAGAACAGGAUCUUUGUGGAAUCUAGAGUGGCUGGGCAGGAAUUCCUAUAAGGAUGAAAUCUGGUCUGGCCCUUGACAAAUGGGAUGUUUAGAUAGAAACAAAACUAAGAUUACAUGAAUAAAGAUAGUCCACAGCCACCUGUAUGCUGAGAGUGGGGCAGGCAGAUGGCAAAUAAAGAAGAAGCCACAACCAGAUUCACCACCAAAAUGUAGAGAUAAGUGAAACAGGAGGUUUCAGAUAAAAGAAAUCCCUUAGGGAUAAGAGGGGACAUUUAGUAUAUGUUAUAUCUUCUAGUUUCAGAAGAUCUCUAUCCAAUAAAUUCAAAAGCAUGAGUUCCAGCAUAAAUAAUUAUAUCAUUGUCUCUGCCAUUAAUAAUAGAGGACAUAAUAAUAAAGUUUGAGGUACAUAAAAUAAUAGUAAAGAGAGUGCUAGACAUUUGAGAAGAGGAUGCCAGCCUGCUUUUACCACUAUAGAUCCCCCAUGUCAAGAUGCGCAGAGCUGCUAUGACAUUAUGGGCUGGCAAAGCUAGGAUUUGGAGAAACAAAUUUGGAAAAACAUUAAAACUCUGGACAAAUCAGCAAAUCUGAAUAAACAAAUCCUUUAAGUUAUUUCUACUCCCAAAAGAAUGGAUGACUCAAUUCAUUGUGCUUGAUCCAACAUCUGCCUUGACAAACUUUAGGGAGAAAUUGCCCCAAAUAUCUUAGACACCUAAAGUGUUUGGCAGAAUCUUUGAAGCUUUCCUAGGCCAUGGUGGGUUGAUUUUUGCUAUUGAAGUGAGCUACUCUGCACAAAGGGGUGGGAGUCUGAGAGCCUGAAGCCCAUCAGCUGGUCUCAUCCUUAACUGCUGCUCACCCCAUCCCCUCUCUGGUCACUCAGCAGAGCUGCUAAGAUACAGUGACAAAAUAUUCGUACCUCUUGAAAUGCAGUUUGAAAACCACUGUUCUUUCACAACCCUCUCACUUUAAAAAUGUGGAACAAUGAAGGCCCCAAGACUAGAAAAGCCCGGGGUCACCGGGUUGGUUAAUGGACAGGCAGGGGUUAGAAUCCAGGUCAUCUGAUUUCCAGCCCAAUGUGCUUUCUCCACUCCUUACAGCCCUUUAAUGCAUCGGUGACAAACUGCCCAUUUUAAAAUAUGGUAAAGUAGGGCAUCUAAUGAAGAAUCUCCAGCGGGAAGAUCUUCAUUGUCUUUUUCACCUUCCAUACUGUGUCAAAUAUUGAUAUUUAUAAAAUAAUGGAAGAACUGGCAUCAGAAAAUGUAUGCUACAGCGACUCUUUGAAUGAGGGCCAGAAAGAGAAUAAAAAGCCCAGAGUGACCUGCUGUACACCCACACUGCUUCCCCAAUUAACUCCAAACAGACUUUGUCUGGGAUGAAAUGAUUUAGCCUCAACGCAAGGUCAGUCCCACAUAUCCAGAAUAAAGAUUGCCGAAUAUGCUUAUUUGAGCUGAAUUACAUUUGGUAGUUUAAUAAUAUGAAUUUACUGCCUUUUCAAGAGGGACUCUAGCACUGGGGAGAACUUUAAAAUGCAUCACACUUAAAACAUAAAAUUAAAUUCAAUUAACUUUUAUUGGGAGGCUAAUACACUAGUACUCUAGAGGGAGAAACGAAGCUCUCAGCUUUCCCAGGAUUUUCAAACCAGGUCUCUAGAAUCCAGGCCAAAGAUACUGGCCUGUCUCCAUCCCUCAUAAAGAGCUUCAUUGGCAACUUUAACAUCUGUACUCAGUGGAGUGGACUAUGCCUAUAAGUCUCCAGCUAAAAGACCCUCAGGGGCAUAAAACCUGGAAUAAUACAUAGGUAGAAAACACUCCCUACCUACCUAUCACAUAAAAGACAAAAAGCCAAUGCGGGCAUGAAAACAUGUGAGGGUCUCAGAGACAAUAUGCUUUUUAUUAAACCCUCCUACCUUCCUGCUAUCAGGAUAAAGGGUUACAUCUAUUUUUUUUUUUUUAAUAUUUAGCACAAUUAGCCACUCACAUUGACUUAUUAGAGAUUCUUCAGCCAGCCUCGGCUUUCCUAAGGCCUUACUGCCCCCUCCCUCCACUGAGAUAUCCAAGUUUGCAGACAACUGUAAGUAGAGUGCCUGACUACUCCCUUUGUGACUUCAUAAAGAGCAAGCUAUGACAUUUGCUGGUUGAGUUGUGGAAAAAACUGAAUUCCAGACAGAUUGGCCAACUAUAUCCUGGAAAUAGGAUGAAGUAAUCUCCUUGACUCAUUUAACAAAUAUUUAAUGAGUGCCUACUGCAUACCAUAUACCAUACUAGGCAUCAGAGAUUCAUGAGUGAAUGAAACAGACAUGAUCACUUCCCUUAUGGCUACAAAAGAGGGGAGAAUGGGGAAACAUGGAAAUCAAAAAGCAUCCCUGUAUUAUCUAUUCUCAUACUGCUAACAAAGACAUACUUGAGACUGGGUAAUUUAUAAAGAAAAAGAGGUUUGAUGGACUCACAUUUCCACAUGGAUGGGGAGGCCUCACAAUCAUGGUGGAAGGUGAAGGAGGAGCAAAGGCAUGUCUUACAUGGUGGCAGGCAAGAAAGCAUGUGCAGGGGAACUGCCCUUUAUAAAACCAGCAGAUCUCAUGAGAGUUAUUCACUAUCAUGAGAACAAUAUGGGAAAAAUCCACCCUCAAGAUUCAAUUACCUCCCGCUGGGUCCCUACCACAACACCUGGGGAUUAUGGGAGCCACAAUUCAAGAUGAGAUUUGGGUGGGACACAGUCAAACCAUAUCAGUCCCUAUCUUAAACAAAUAAUACAAAAAAAACCCAAGAUUUCAAAAUCAGGGUUAAACUCUCUGUCAAGCUGGUUGGAAUUUGCAAGACAGAAUCAGUUUCCCAGUGCUGCUGUAACAAGUUCACAUGAACUUAGCAGCUUCAAACAACACAAGUUCAUUGUCUUAGAGUUCUGGAGGUCAGAUGUCUGAAAAAGGCCCUAUAGAGGCAAAAUUGAGGUGAGGGGAGAACACGUUUCCUUGCCUUUCCCAGCUCCUAGUGGCUGCCUGUGUUCCCUGUCUUGCACCCCUGGCUCCAUUUUCAAAAGCACAUUGCUCCAAUCUCUGCUUGCUUCAUCACAUCUCCUUCUCCCCUGACUCUGACUUCCCUGAGUCCUCUUCGGAACCGUUGUGCUUACCUCAGGCCCACCUGGAUAAUGCAGAAUAACCUCCACAAUUUAUGAUUUUUUAAUCACACCUGCAAAGUCCCUUUUGCCAUAUAAGGUAAUCCCAGUUUCUAAGAAUUAGGACAUGGACAUAUUCGGAUGAUUGUUAUUCAGCCUAUCACAAAGACCAAAAAUAACAUCCCAAACUUUAGGUACUUUCGUGGAAAAAGAAAUGACCUGAGCUCUUGAAGAUGUGACCAGGAUGCAGAACAGUGGAAUUGCCUCCCUAAUUACAUUCAUAUUCUCUGUCUAACAGCAGUAAAACAAGAAAGGUGUGGUGGUGGUGCAUGCCUGUAGUCCCAACUGUUUGGGAGGCUGAGGCUGGCAGAUCACUUGAACCAAGGAGUUCAAGAUCAGCCUGGGCAAUAGAGUGAGACCUCCUCUCCAUUUAAAAAGAAAAAGAAAAGCAGUGAAACACAGUGGCAAAGAACACAGGCUGUGGGGUGAAAUACACCAGGGUAUUGGUUGAACCAGCUCAACCAAACACCUGGAUGAACAUGAUCAAAUUACUUAACCUCUCUGAACCUCAAUUUCCUGUUCCCCAAAUGGAGAUCACAAUAAUACUCCCUUUCUGGGGUUGUUAUGAGGAUUAAUGAGAUAAUACCUAUAUAGCACUCUUUGUUGUAUAUAGUAAGCAUUCAAUCGAUGUUAUUAUUAUGUUAUUAUUAUAAUUAUUCAAUCACUGGCCACCCAGCCUGGACUUGAACUCACACCUGAGUAUUUUAGAGGCCUCCUUCAGUACAGAUCACUGAAAUUUCCAGAACUUCCUCUUCCCCUUACUUGAAAUCCGAUCUGUCCCUCAAGCACUUGUCUCAUUCAUGCUCCUUCAUGCUUCCCCAGUGGGAAGAACUCUAUCUCCCUUUCCUUCUGACCUCCAACAACAGGUGCACCACUCGUGUAAGGCUAUCACUGAUCUUGCUGCUUCCAAUCUUAUUUUUAUGUUUUAGCACCAUAUGUAGAUUACAAACUGCCUGAGGGCAAAUACUGCUGUACUAGUACUCAGUGAAGACAUGUGGCCACAGUAGAUAAUCAAUAAACUGGUUAAAUAAACUCAUUGCAGAGUUUAUUCCUCCCAGAUCUGUGGGGAAACACAAUUUCACAUUUCCCAUUAAAGGGGAGCUAACUGUACACCCUAAGAUAUGCUGCAACCUUGAAGUUGAGGUUCUAAAGUGAAUUUAGUCCUCAUCUCCCUUUUCCAUUAUGUGCUCCACAGUUCCCUAUAUCCCAGGAUGAUGAAGACCCCUCUUUCUCCCUCUGUAUACCAAGAAGUUUAAGUAUCAGCAACACACCAAGGGAAAAUAGCAAACAGACUUCUGUUUGGACAUGAAAUUGAACAAAGAGCUCACACCAGUCAGAGCCAGUUUGAACCAGUCUGCACGGCUCUGAAAUCUGCCGGACCUCCCUCUGAAGCUGGCACAAAGACACGAAGAACAUCAUUGACUUCAAUCUUUGGCCUUCUAACCAGGAAAGGACUUGUGAAGGUGAAUGGUUUGCAGACGAAGGGGAUAUAAAAGAGACAAAACCAGGAUAAAAAUUAAAUAAAAAGUAGCUGUCUUAAACUGUAAUUGCAGUCCUCUGCUGAGCACGCUUGCAGAUAUAUAAAUGUGAUUUACCAUCAGCUUGCAACUACAAAUCAGGUCUUGAGAAACACUUGUGCUAUGAAAUUGUUUAAUCUCAUCAAGCUCUGCUUUCACAGCAAGCCAUAAAUCACAAAGUCUUUGUUAUCAUAGACCUCCACCAGCGCCUCUCUGGCAGGCUAUGGAUCGUGGGUAUAUAUAAUCUUGACUGCACAAACACUGGGGUCGACGCAGGCUGAAAUACUUUCAUAAUAGCCACUGUGCAGCUGGUGGAACACAAGCCUAUGAUGGAUAUCUCAUUUCCUACAGUCGGCAUCUAUUUCGAGCAAAUUAUUACCACAUAAAUUUCUUGUCAACAGAAACGGCCAAUUAAUUAAGUUAAAAAUUUACUUGUGAUCACAUCUACAAACCAAAUAGAACUGCAAGGCAAUUUUCCAGUUACUGAAUAUACUGCAGGUCAGUUUAAUGAAUAAUUUUUAACUUUGUCAUAAACUCAAAGACAGGCUAAUAUCUCCAGAAACCUGAAUGGAGACCAGCUGCCGACAGAUUUACACAAAAUAUAUUUAUGUGGAAUUUGAUUGCUGACAUCUGGGGACAGAAAUAAACUUUCUAUAAUUACAGAGGCAUCUUUGCCAUAUAUAUGCAUUUCUUUCACCAAAAAAUGCAAAUCUGUCCCCAGAAAGGGUGUAUUUACAUUUUCAGGCAGGGCUACAAUGGGGCUGGAUGGUUCUUGGAAAAAUCAUUGCAUUAAAUUCCUGUGCUAGUGAUGGGUUCAUUAUCAUGCAGGAAGACAAUAACAGGCCAAGACCUGUUUAUCACUGCCCCCCACCUUCCUACACACAAAAAAUCAGGAUGCUUUCUCUCUUUGAGGUUGCAAGCCACUUGGCACAUGUCCAAUAGUGGAGGCAGCAUUGGGAGGAUUUAGGGGUCUGUCAGGUAAGGCAGAUUGACACAGCUUCCCCUUAGGGUUAUUAUGCAUAUAAAAUAGAUCUACAUGGAAAUAAGGCCGGCAGAGGGCCCUUUUCAUAAUUCCUGCUUUAACCAUGUCUCUUUGAACUGAAGAAAAUUCAUGGAUGAUGGGGGGGUUGGGGGAAUGGUAGUUGUCCAGGUGAGUAUAAAGGAUGUGGAUUUGGGGAACACAUCAGAUCUGACUGCUAACAGUGAUUUACUCAAUGAGCCACCUAUUGGAUAUAGAAUUAGGGUUUUCAAUAGGGCCGUUAUGUACCCCAGAAGUAGAGGGCACUCAAGGUCCUCCAAAUUAUAGUCCCAGUCUAUCUUUAACAAUUUCACUGUUCCCUAUUCUCAACCUGUCACUGCCAAAUGACCAAGCUAGACUACUUAAUGUUCCUACCACGUGCCUUGGCUUUUGUACUUCUGUAACUUUGCUCCAACAAAGGACCUUUGAGGUCUGUUCCCAUAUACUUCCACUUUCCAGAUUUUUAUCUCCAAGAUGACCUCCUUGGCUUUUCCUCAGCCUAGAAAAGACCUUUGCUCUUCAGCAAGACACUUCCUUCUACACAAAAAUUGAGAGCCUGUCAUUCUACCACGAGCAGAAUGAGCAGUUUGAGUUCACAGCCACUGAAGUGUUCAAGAAGAUGCCAGACAACCAUUUGGUGGGCUGUUGUAACGGGGACUCAAUGUGUGUGGAGAGUUGGACUAAAUAACUGCUAAAGCUUUUCAUCCCUGGGAUUAUAAUUUUUUAAUCCUUAGCCUGUAUAUCAAUAAGGCCACAAGCAAUUCUACAAUGGUUGCUUGUGCCCUUGUUGGUAAACUUCCUGAAGGCAGGGAUCAUUUUACUCAUAUUUACAGUUUUCUCAGCACACAGUCCAGUACCUUUUUUUUUAAGGCACAUUCCCUAGAAAAGUUAUUGAGGGCUGAUUUUACGGAGGUUUUCUCAUAUUUGCAGCACUCAACUUCAGGUGGCAUUUGAUACACUACUGUACCAUGAUAAUCAAUAUGAACAGUGCUGAUGUGUGCUUAUGAUGUUUAGGGCACCUUGCUAGAAUUCUGAGAAUUCCAGGAGGCAAAUACAUUCUCUCCCAGACUAAUUUUAAUUAAGGAAAAAAGUCACACAGUGAGCUCAAAGCAUACCCCAAACAAACAGGGGCUGAAUAAAUGAAUGAUCAAUGUGCAAAAUACAAAAUAAGAUAGAAUAUAAAUGUUAAAUCAAGGGUAUCAAUAAUUUUCAGUAUCAGGGUAGACAAUGCAAAAACGUUUGUGUUUUAGAAUCUGAAGGGUGCAAAAAAGUGAUUCCAUAUAAUUCUUCACUCUGCUACUGUGGAUACAAAAUCCCCUACCCCAAGCUGAACCAGCUUGCUCAAGGUCACUAAAAUGGAAGAUGGCAAAAAGAGAAUCAUACCUAGCUGUGCUCAAUACCUGCCCUUCAUUCUUUCCAUCACAUCCACCAAACCCAACAAGGUUACUCCUAUAAAGUCUAAGGAUUAAAUUGCUUUUCAGUUUUUCCUGGUUAAUUUCAUGUUCCUUGAAUCAAAGUAUAAAUACCUCUUCUCUGGCUCAGGCCUUGGCUCUACGUGUCCCUGGAUUAUUUCUGAUGACAAAAUACAUUUCAAAAUUUUCUCCUUGACAAUGAUCUUAAAUGUGAAGACAUUGCCUAAACAUCUAAUUUCACCAGUCAUCUACUCUGGAUCCUUUCUGCCACACACACUCACUCACAAAUAGGCAUUAAAUGCAGAGGUUGAUUGGAUUCAAAUCUUAGCUCAACCCUUUAUGAGUUAUGGGAAUUUAGGCUGGUUACUUCACUUCUCAGUGCCUCAGUCUCCUUGUCUAUAAAAUGGGACUACCUCAUAGUGUCAUGAGUAUUACAUUAGACAACACAUGUAACAUUUUAAAACAAUGCCUAUAAGAAGCAUUUAUUCUGAGAUCAGGAGUUCAAGACCAGACUGGCCAACAUGGUGAAACCCUGUCUCUACUAAAAAUACAAAAAAUUAGCUGGGUAUGGUGGUGGGCACCUGUAAUCCCAGCUACUCAGGAGGCUGAGGCAGGAGAAUCGCUUGAACCCGGGAGGCAGCGGUUGCAGUGAGCCAAGAUCGUGCCAUUGCACUCCAGCCUGGGCAACAAGAGCGAAACUCCAUCUCAAAAAAAAAAAAAAAAAAAAAAAGAAGCAUUUGUUAUUAGUUUUUAAUCCUUAGCCCGUCUAUACCACUUUUGGCAUAGUAAAUCUCAUAUUCUUAUCCCAUGCUGUGUAAACUUUAUUUCUUUUCAUUUGUCCUGUACUUGCCUUGUGAAGCUUCAAGGAAGAAUUCAUAAAAGAAUAAUGAUGAUGAUGAUGAUAACAGAUAACAUUUUUGCCUGUAUUAUGUUCCAGGCACUGCUAUAAACACUUUACAUUCGUUAUCAACAGCCUUAGGAGGCAAAUAUUCUUAUUAUCUCCAAAUCACAGAUGUGACCUAGAAAGGUUAAGUAACUUGUCCAAGGUCAUACAGCUAUAAUUGGUCAAACUCUAAGUUCAUGCUCUUAAUCACUGCAAUUUAGUGUUACUGUAUUUGGUCAGCAAUUCCUUAUCAUUUUAUUUCUCUCAUUUAUAAUAUUAUAGGUAUUGCUCAUGUCCUCCAUCAUACUCCAUUUUUCCAGAACAGUCUGAGUCAGUCAUUAUUCCUAUCCCCAAGGACCUUGCAGUUCAGACAAGGAAACAAAAUAAAUGUGGAUAUGAAAAGCAUAUCCACAUAAGAAAAACAAACUUGUUCUAACCCAUCCAACUCCAUCAUGCUUGUUUAUUUCAUUCUUCCUUGAAGCUUCUCUCUACCCAGCAACAAUAGUUUUUGAGAGUGUAUCUAAUCAUAGCACCAAAUCACUAUUUAAAGAUGUUGGGCAAAGUAAAAGAAUCUUUCAAUAAAGUUCAAUUAGCUUGUGAGUUCAAAUAUGAAACACACACUACUGUAUUUCAGGAGGAAGGGAGAGGCCAGAGGAGGUUCCAUAGCAGAGCUUUUGUGAAAUUAGAGUCAGGAUUUCUAUAAAAGAAAAUGUUUUAUUACAGAGACAAUGAACAAGAAACAUGGGGAAUUACCUAUAUGCUGUCUGAGUGCUACUAACAAAGGCAGGUAAUAGUGUGGGUGAGACACCGCUGACUGUCAGGUUAUCUUGUUGAGGGUCACUGCUGCCAGAGUGUCAAGGUCGGGAUAAGACAGUAUAACAAAGCAGAAGCGAGGAACGCCUGCCUCCCUGGCUGAUCCACUGACGAUUAGCAGCAUAGGGGACAUGAGUGAUGAUAAUAUCACAGUUUUACAUGCGUUGAGCACUUUAUAGUUUAUAAAGCACUUUCACAGUCAUUAUCUCAUUAUAUUUUUAAAGAAUUUCUUACGGAAGAUUCAGUAAUGACCAAACCUGCCGAGGAACACUUCACUUUUCAGGGAUACAUUUUCCUGAUUUGAGAAAAGCUAUCUACUUUGAGUUGGGUAAACACAUGAGCACAGAUUUAGAAACUGGAAUUCAAUGAAGGAGCCAGAAGACUCUAGGGUUAACUGGAGGUAUAGUACAGCUCAUCCCAGACAGUGCCAGAAAUUAUACAGGGAAUCUGCAAAAUCCGAAAAAUUCUCAUUAAUGCAUCCAAAUCUAGAAAGAAGCAAACUUUAUCUAGGCAUUCUUCUCUUCUCCUUCUUCUGACUGAGUAAUGGAUUAAGUAACCACUGGGAAAAGCAAAUGAAACACAGAAAACUAACAACUGGGUACACCCUCUAAUGGGCAUGAAAAUUCCAUGAUGACCCAGUGAAUUAGAGAAAUCAUCCAAAGCCCAAAAGUAAACCCUAAUGAAGGUUUAACAGAAUGUCAGAUGAGAGAAUUAAGUCUGGCUAUUCCAAUAAAGAUCACAUCCCUUCUCAGUUGAACUAUUCUCCUCCCUACCCCAUUUUCUGAAGCUACAGAACAUGGACAAAACAUGAAAUACUUACUUCUCAAACUGCAACUUUGAGGGUAAAAGAAGCUCAUAUUAUGAGAGGUGGGAAGAUAAUUAAGAAGCCAUUCACACUGUAUAUUUCAGAGUUACUCAAACAUGAUCAGAGAGAAAACAAACAGCACAGCAAAAAAUUCAGACUAACAACAAAACCAGGAAAAGGAGGACAGAAGCACAUCAUGCAAAAGACACAAAAAGGACCCAACAACUAAAGGAACAGCAGAAAAAAAAAUCCAAAUAGCUUUAUGCUAUAAAACAACUUAGUAAGAACAAGACUUUAAUAAAAGAGGGGCUCAGCUGAAUGCAGUUUAAUUGAAUGUGAGCCUGCCUCUUGCAUGAGAGGGUAAGCCCACUACCUCCUAUCUCUUCCACUGAUUACAACUAAACACUGCACAAAAUACAAGGAUACUGAGGAUGGGGAAAAGUAAAACAAAAGCCAGUGGCUUAUGGAGAAGCUACCCACCAAGAGGUGAAUUUCUGGGUUUAUUGUUCUUUUUUAAUGUGGCUU